AGUCCCCUGCUUGGUUCGUGAUUGGCGGCAAUUUUUUGAGCCAACACUCAAAAAAUGGGAGCCACCCCCGGCUGUGGUGAGCAUGCCUGCCAUUGAAGCAGGAAGCCUGAAGCAGUCGUCUGGGUCCCACCUGGGAAACCAGGUUCAAAAGUUCCGCUGUAACGGCCGAUAGCGGGGGACUA
rfam:Desulfomonile tiedjei DSM 6799, complete genome.